GGACGAAGCACAUGGAGUGACUCGUGAGGAAGAUUCUCAAAGGAAGUUUUAACGUUACCCUCUGCAACUUUAAGAUAACCUGCUGAUUUCCUUCUGCCAUGCAGUGGAAAUAAUUUCAGCCAGCCAUGUCAAUGAUGUUUCGCGUUAUUGUGCACGACAGUGACAUCCGAAAGGUUGUGAUUUCAGAAAAACCAGCUGAUGUUGAUGCCUUGAAACGUGUGCUUCAAGAGAAGUUGCAAGUCACAUAUUCUUUCAA